UACAGAGACCUCGAGCGUUAUCCGGAUUCAUUGGGCGUAAAGCGUCCGCAGACGGUGCGUUAAGUCUUUCGUCAAAUCUCAGGGCUCAACCCUGGGGCUGCGAGGGAAACUGGCGCGCUAGAGGGUGGGAGAGGCAAGCGGAAUUACCGGUGUAGUAGUAAAAUGCGUUAAUAUCGGUAAGAACACCAAAGGCGAAGGCAGCUUGCUGGAACACUCCUGACGUUAAAGGACGAAAGCACGGGGAG
rnacentral:rRNA from 1 species